rnacentral:sRNA from 1 species
UUCUGUAUAAUUAAAAUUACCUUAUUGGUUGUUUUAUGCAACAAAUAGGAUAUCUCCUUUGUGUUGUUUAUAGUGAGAAUAGUUUUGCUCAUAGGUAGGUAUUGGCUCGAGUACCUACCUUAAAGAUUUAUUUCCCGUAAAAGAUGUACACGUAGCGAUAACACUGCGUUUACGUCUUUU